UUUGGUGGCGAUAGCGAAGAGGUCACACCCGUUCCCAUACCGAACACGGAAGUUAAGCUCUUCAGCGCCGAUGGUAGUUGGGGGUCUCCCCCUGUGAGAGUAGGACGCAGCCAAGC
rnacentral:rRNA from 1 species